CCUCGAUCCUUCUUAUCUUUCACCUUGAGUGUAUCAAGCGAUGACAGCAGCCUCAAUUCAAGCUCUUUUUCAGUUUGUACUUCCAAUUCAAUAAGGGGUAAUUUUACGAUUCCCAGUCGCUUAUCUUGCCCAAUGUCUUCAUCAAAAACCUGUUAUGAGAGUCAUGCAUUUAUGUUAGUUGUAUUAAAUCAAGUAGGAUAUAUAAACAAGAGUUUAAUGACUAUGCAUAGACUUUGAAAAAUUAAUUACAUACUCAUCUAAUUAUAUCCCAUUCAGUAGAUAUUUGUUGAGAUAUUUUAGACAGUGACAACAUACUAGUAUCCCGGUAAGAUAUGGUUGGAUGGCUGUAUAAAACUUUUUUACACUGUUUGUUAGUGUAUAGUCGAUACACUCUAAACAAUUUUUGCCAAGUUAUGGGGAGAGAAAACAAAAAAAUAUUUCAAAAAAAUAUUAAAAUCUAAAACUAUAUGUAGAGAAAUGACACCCUGUUUUGAACUGAGUUAAAAAAAAAAGUAACAUUUGUCAAUAUUUUAGUCGUAUCCCGGAAUUUUCAUAAGGUGGUGUAAAAUGCUCCAUCCCACAAUAUAAGUCAUUUUUUUUUCCUAUUGUAUCCCUCACUAUAUAUUUUAUUACUCUUCCUUUUCCAGUUCAUGUAAUCUCUCUUUCUCGUACCACUAAUGAAGGUUAAUCUUAACUCAGAAUUUUUAUAAAAUCAACGAAAUUAGCUACAUUUCUUAAUUCAUGUGCCAUUUGCUAAAGUGACUUAUAUUGUGGGAUGGAGGAAGUAUAUACAACAGAGGAAUUCUAAUUACAAAGAAAAUAUAGCUUAUGAAAAAUAAUGGCUCUAGGAUCAGAAUUAGAGGUUCAAAACACCAGAGCUAUGAAACGAGUACUCAUGCAUACCAAGAAAUAUAUAAUAUGAUUCUAAUAAUCAUCAUAUACUAAUAUGUCAGAACUGUAUGUAAUAUAUGAAAUAAAAUCAUCUUAAAUUUCUUCCAUUAUGUAAUUGAGUUUAAUGACGACUCGAGUCUUUUGUCGAUGUCAAUUAGUUUUACACCGAUGUCCUAUAAAAUCUCAUCAUAUUGCCAAGUAAGCUCAUUUUAUAACUGUAUUUUAAUAAUAAUUGUUAAAUACUAAAUUUUCAUUGGACAUCAGUGUAAAACGAAUUUACACUGAUAAUGCAUAUUCUCUUUUCUCUAUGUAAUUAGCAUCUAUGAAUCACUGACAUAGACGCAGACACAGACACAAACACAACACAGACACCUGACAUGACACUGACAAUGACACAUGCAAUAAUAGUAAUUUGAGAAAAUGAAUUAAUUGAAUUUAGUCGUGUCGGUUUCGGAGACCAGACAUACCUUCAAUCCAUAGUAUCAGUGAUUCAAAUUUUAGUAUACUUUAAGAGGAGAUGGUUUGGAAACAAAGGAUUUAGCAUAAAACCAUAAGAAAGGUGGAAGAAGAGAGCAGCAUAAAAAACCUCAAGAAUGAGUGACUGGGUCUCCUUGUCUUCUGCAAUCAACUCAAAUGUUUGAUCCCAAACAGGAUUCAAGUUGUUGUUAAUAACCUUGGUUUUAACCUUGAAUAAAG
rnacentral:lncRNA from 1 species